rnacentral:rRNA from 1 species
UACGUAGGGCGCAAGCGUUGUCCGAAAUUAUUGGGCGUAAAGAGCUCGUAGGCGGUUUGUCGCGUCUGCUGUGAAAACCUGAGGCUCAACCUCGGGCUUGCAGUGGGUACGGGCAGACUAGAGUGCGGUAGGGGUGACUGGAAUUCCUGGUGUAGCGGUGGAAUGCGCAGAUAUCAGGAGGAACACCGAUGGCGAAGGCAGGUCACUGGGCCGCAACUGACGCUGAGGAGCGAAAGCAUGGGGAGCGAACAGG